AGAAAUGUUAACAGAACUAAUUUACAGAUUUUUUACCUAAUAUGGGUCCAAAAAUGAUAAACAAACAAAUGAUGUUUAGUUGAGUUUUAUAUGCCGACUUAUUUUUCGAUGCCAUCAUUAGGUAACUACCUUUCCUUCAUCAAAUAAUAAUUGAUCAUGUAUUGGAAGGUUUUCCAGAAAUGUCAACAAAAUGUAAUUUAUAAAUUUUUUCCCUAAGAUGGGACCAAAACAGAUAAACAAAAAAUAAAACAAAAUGGAGAAAUUUUAUUACAAUCUAAAUCAAUUAUUAGUUUGGCAUAAUUUUAUUUGAAGCAUUUUCAUUGGUUAAAAACUAGUAACUACUAGGUUUGAUUGUAAUAAAGAUUUUUUUCAAACAAAAACGUAGGUUUGACACGCAAAGAAUACCAGUUAUUUUUACGAAAUUAAUGAAAUGAUUAGUAUGAAUAUCCAUUCGUCUCCCCAAAAGAUACAUUGAAACGUUCAUCUUUAAAGGUUCAUUGGAAUAGCAUCUUCUUAUAAGUUUGUUUGUUGGUUCAUUAUGGAGCUAAAUUCAUGUAUUUGAAAUAUAUAGUAAAUUCAUGCACUUAUAUAUUCAUGCUAGUACAUAUACCUUUGAUCUUGUAUCAUUUAUAAAUAGAGGUAUAUAAGACUCAUUUCUAAUAUUUGAAUAAAAAAACAUUCUCACUAUUUCCUUUUCUCCGUUCUACAAUCUUCAUUUUCUACUUGUAAGGAAUUUAUUUUAUUAAUUUCACAAUAAUUUAUUUAAUAUUAAUGAAUUCUCAAAAUUCAUACGUCUCGUCUCUCAACCAACACUAAACGUCUAAAAAUACAUUGGGCACAAAGUAAGGAUAUAGUACUAACUUUUGGUGCUCCACUAACUGUACCAACAGGAAGUGCAGCACGCAGUGCAUCCCAGCAAGUAAGAUGAUCAAGCAACUCCCCUGUGACCUGUAAUAAUGUCCCAAUGGUUUUAAACAAAAUGGUUACUCAAAUAAAGCCUUCUUCAACUCUCAUGAGUUUAUGAAGGUGUUAUGAGGCCAAGACAUUUAAAGCUACUGAAAUGAAACAACUUCUACCCGCAGGAAAACCGGCAACUCUCUAGUAUGAAAACCAAACUAUAUUGUCCAUACUAUGUAAUUACUGCAACAGGGAUGAACAAUUUUAUUUGAAAAACUGAUAGUCAACAAGGCUUUAUGAUGAUAUUCUCACCGUGGAGCUUAUGUGCAUCACAUGGGAGUACCGCUCAACAGUCAUAAGUUUUUCAACAUUUACAGAACCUGGCUUCGAGACCUACAUUUGACAAAUCUUAUAAUGUUACUUAUGACAGUGUAGAGAAAGCAUAGAAAAAUAUGGAAGAUCCAACAUACGUUUUCUGAAAAGUCUGCAAUAGAUACCAUAUGUUUAGGGCAGGGAGCAGAUCAUAUUUACAAACUCCCAAAUAUAAACAUUAAUAACAAAAAUGCAAGAAAAUUUUUUACAAGAGAGUAAAGUAAGUCAGUAAAACCUUUCCCACAUCAUUACGGCCCAAAUCGACCAGCAUUAUAUGUUCUGCACAUUGCUUUUUAUCUUUUAAAAGCUGCAGCUCCUGCAUCUCAUCUUCAUGAGGUGUCUUCCCUCUUCUUGUAGUUCCAGCCAAUGGUCGAUUAACAACCCUUUUCUGUCAAUAACAUUGAUACAUCCACAUUAAUUCUGUAUCAAGAGCUGUAUACUCAAGGCCAAAGUUUAAUGAUUUUCAGAAUUUAAUCUGUAAAUAACCUUCUUGACACGAGUAAGAAUUUCUGGGCUUGAAGCAACAUGAAUACUUCCUCUAGCCUGAUCAAAUAAUGAAGACACCAUAGUUGGAAAACUUACUUCAGACAAUUAAGAGAAUGGAUGUUCUUUGUAUUAAUAGAAGUACUAACCUGCAAGUAAGCCAUGUAGGGACUUGGAUUUAUUACUCUCAGUGCUCUGUAGACUUCAAAUGGAUCAGCAAAUGUUCUCUUCUCAAAGCGCUGACUUAAAACAAUCUGAAAAAUAUCUCCAGCAAGGAUAUGCUCCUUUGCCUGUAUGACAGCCUUCUUGUACUCUUCUCUUGUCAUGUUACUCUUGUUCAGAGAGAAUCCAAAAUUGUUAGUCCACAAUUCAACAGAUCCUGCUGAUAGCCUUGGACUGAAAAUGGAAAUUUAAUAUGUUAUGAUACAGAAGAUGUAAAAUCAAAAUUGAACCAAGAAAAUGUUAUGAUAUAGAAGAUUCAAACAGUAACUUACGGAUCAAUAUUUUGUACUUUUGACAUUAGUCUUUCCAAGCGUUUCAUACCACUAGUGUAAGCCUUCUCUUUUGAUGGAUACUGAUCUAACUGCACCCAGUGGAUAACAUAUGCUUUCUGCAUGAACAAGAAGGAUUCUUAAUAAUCACUCAGGAAGAAUUUCCGAAACAAAUGCAAUUGGGUGAGCCCUGAGAGAGAUCACGGUGACCAUAACUAAUAUAUAAGGGUAAAAGCUAUUUUCCGUCAAUCUAGAUAAGAGGCUAAGACAAGCUGGUUCAUGUUCAAGAACUAUUAAGGGAGGAUAAAAAUAGUGGUUAGUGACCUCCCACGUUCAAUAAAGAUUCCAUGAUAUAACAGCUAUUAAGAUGAAACUCACUAAAGCUUAGAUUGUGCAUUAAUACAUUAGCAUAGAUCUUAUCAAAUUGUCUUUACUACCAUAAAGCUGGCUGAACUCAGCUAACAAAACAAUGUGAACAAUCAAGUUUAGACCUCCUUAUAGGUAAUUGAUUAACUUGUACAUUCCAUUCACUGUCUGGACUCAUUAUACAACACAAAAACUGAAAGAAUUAGACAAACACAGAAAGGCAUGCACAUGCAGAAAGUGACACAAGAAUACCUUCUCUACAUGAUCAAAUACUAUCACAUCAUCAUACAGCCCCAGAUGAAUGUCAGCAAGGCUCCUAUCAUCGCGUGGCGCCUGAGAGAAUGGCAGCUUCUUCUUCUCAAGGUACCUAACAGUGUCAUAAGAAAAAUAACCAACCCAUCCACCUGCACAUGAUGCCCAAAGAACUCGUAAUUAAGUAUACAAGAAAAGUUGUAAACCUAGCAAUACAGUCUCCACUUUUAUUUCUGUUCACCUCUCAAGUAAGAGCCUACUGUACAAUUUUUCACAGAAAAUUCGUUUCAAACAUUGACUUUAUGUCUAAAAUGCAGUAACUCUAUCAAAAGACAUGUCAGGCACAAAAGAAAGCACAUCCAAAACAGGAAUGAAUAGAAAAAAUAGCUACUUCCGAACUAAAUUCAUCUACUCCCAGUAAUGGAAGGUAGUUGGGAAAGUAAGAGAAACAUAAUAAUACCAAAAAGUGUGUGAUUCUUCGAAAUAUAUGGAUGUCCAUGAUUAUUGUCCCUGUAUUAAAUAAGAAUUUUGACGUCUAACAUUCCGAUGCCUCCACCAGUUCAGUCAAGAAGAGUGCCACUGAUGGAGAAGAAACAGCAAGUUUCUGGGACACACUCAAAUUACAUCUUCUACUUUCUACAUUUGAAGUCACUAGAUACUAAUUUCGGUAACAGAGAGAACCCAUAAAACCUCUCCAUUACAACGGCCAAAUUCCUGUCUAUCACAAAACAAUCUUCAUCCAUGGCUACAGCCUGCUGGAACACAAUUCUGGGAAGGAAAAGCCCAAAAGUUUAUGUCCAUCACAAAUCUUACCCUAACUCCUUCACGGAAUCCUCAUAAUCUGAUGUGCAAAAACAUUACUUACUGUUCUUACAGAAUAAACAGGAAGUUACAGGAUACAACCUCAAAAAAGGAAAAGUAUUUCACGAGUUUACUCAAUUAUGAAACUUCACGUUUUUAUUCGAACUUCAGAAAAGUUUUUUUUUUUUUUUUGAAUGAUGCACAAUUAAAUUUUGUUUUAAAAGAAAUGGAAAACCUGAGCCGACUUGAAAACAAAAGAAUAGACAGAUAAAUAAGAAUAUUCUAGUUAACGAGUCCAACUAGAAAGGAAAAACGAAAUUACUGGUCCGAGUAAUGUUAAAGUCAUACCACAAAAUGUAUCAGGAAGUUCACUAAUCAACUGAGGCUUCCAACUUUCAGAAAUUUCUCUAGGAAUCGUCAUCGGGUCCUCCACAACAAUCUCCUUCAACUUCCCUCUGUAGUGAUCCAAGAUGGUGACAUCAUUUUCUUUUGCCACGAUUUCCACCGCUGGCUGAGCACCGACCACGCUGUACCGACCCUAACAAUUCCCAUUUUCAACACCAGUUAAACCAAAAAUCUACAAACAUCAUAAAACACAUGCUAUAAUGGAAAAACCAUAUUCUGAAGGGGAACAUAGAGGCUUACAACAUGGGAAGUUCGGAAACCAGGUUCUACGGACUCGAAAAGAAAGCUAGGAGCCUCCCGGUCGUCUUCUUUAACUAAGCAGCGGUAUGCAAGCACGGGAGUCAGAUGAUCCGAGAAAAUACAUUGGUAGAGCGGAAUGACAUUUCCAUGUCUGGAAGCUUCCAUAAAUCUUUUUUUAUCCGUCACUGAAUAAAUUGAGAACACAAAAGAAUAAAUAAAAAAGAUCCACGAUUGAAACAACCAUGUAAUUAAAGCAUAGUUGAAAAAUGAAGGGACAUUUUAGGGAUAACGAUACUAUUUAUGGCAGCGUUUUCACCUGCACGAGUGAAACAAAAAUCAUGAAGUCCAGCACAGAUUAUACAGAAACAAUUUGAGCAUUAACCAAUGAAUGAGCGUACCUGGAGAUGAAGACUGGAGAGAGCAACAUUGGAGUGAAGGAAGGGAGCGACGAAGAGAGAGACGUGAGCUAAAGCUGUGACUAGGGGAGAAUUCGAAGGAAACAACCGGACACAAGCGGCGGUUCACCGGAGAAAACCGGUAAUUGGCAGGAGAAAGUCGAUUGGGAGCAUGUAGGGCUUGCAUUAUUAGUUUUUUUUUCUCUUUAAUUAUAACGGCUUAGUGCAUUCAACCGUCUGAGGGACUCAGAAGAAGGAACGGAAACCAAUGCUGAAAAUGUGAAAUGCAGCUUAUUACACUUCACCGUCUGCGAAUGCAACUCAGAGCAAAUAAGGACAGGAAGGACAGCGGUGAGGGCACCAGACUCCAGAGGAGAUUUUGGGGGAUAGUACAACUAAGAAGAAGAGAGUUUAGGAAUCUGGUUGAGAGUUGAGAGUUGAGACGGUGCGUCUCGUCUCGAAGUUGUGUCGGAUUUUUUUACAUCGAGCAUGUACUCCUAAUAUGCACCGCUUCCAAGCCAUUAGCCACUCUAUUUAUAGUCACACGCCUCUGCCCAUUUACUCCAGAGGGCCUGUUUCACUGGGGCGAAACUUUCACACCAAAAAUGUGAAGAAUUAAUUUUUAGGAUUAAUUACAAUUUGCUUCCUUAAACUCGACCCUUUAUAACAUUUUGCCCCCAUAAACUUUAAAUAUAUAUACUUUGCCCCAUUCAUUGACUAGUCAAAUAUUAAUGAUGAAUUCUCCAUCCAAAAUUUUAACAAAAUGGCAUUAAUGCCCUUACAUAAUAGUUCUACAAUAAUGCUAUACUUUUAAUCGGAAUAUAAAACAUUUUGUUAGAAAAAACACAAAGUCAUAUGAUUUAAAAAAUUUAGAAAUAAAAGAUGGUUUAAUACCAAAGAAUUGAAAAUUUUUUUAUGGAGAAAAAAAGAAUUUAAAAAAUCCUAAAACAUCAGCACAAGUUUUCCAUUACUUAUCUUUAUUCCUUUAAAUUGUAAACGGAUUAGUUUUGAUAAUUUUCAUUUAAUUUGCAGCUGUCACAAGAUUUUCACGAGUCAAUAAAACGUUAUUUGGUAAUUUUAUAUCACAUUCAUACGUUGCUUUGUAUUUUAUUUGCAUUCUACAUUCUACAUUUUUUUAAAAAAAUUUAAGUUCUCUAAUACAUUUUUAUUUUUAAUUAUGUUUUUUUCUCUCAUAUCAAACACAUAAAAAGUGCUACAAUAAAAAAAUAAGCAAAUAAUUUCAUUCCAAAUGCACUAAUUAAUUUUAUUUCAUUUAAAAUAAGUAUUGCUAUCGACAUUGAGAUAAAUACAUUGAGUUGGUUAAAUUCUUUUUUGCGAAUUAUCUAAUUCAUUUUAAGGCUAAAAGAUCGAAAUGCCUAGUGUAAUUGUAUUUAGAUGCAUUUAGCAACUAUAAAAAAAAUAGGUGUUUAUUAUGUUAUGAGUGUUUAAGAAUUAGCCAAGGAUAUUUUUGUCAUGAAAAAUAUAACUUCAUCUUAACCCCAUCAAAAAGUUGACUAUAAAGGGUAAAGUAUAUAUAUUUGGAAUUUGGAGGGGCAAAGUGUUACAAAUAUCCAAGUUCAAGGGAGCAAAAUGUAAUUAAUCAUAAUUUUUAUACAUUCAUUGUGUAUAGACUUUUUAAUUAGUGCGAAACUUCACGCGAAAAAUAUAAAGAAUUGAUCUUUUAUAUAAUGAUAAUGUAUAUACUUUCAGCAUGAUCUAGAUUUGAAUUUAAAAUCCAAUCCUAUGUAGAUUACUCGAAUAUAUGCCUUCUUUUAGCACAACCAUGACGACUUGUAAUCCAUAUACAAAACUUGAUUUUACAACCGUGGAGACAGUUUUCUCUGGCCUUCAUCUCUAGACAAAACCAUGAAACGAACAACUAUUAAUAUAAUUUAGGUAAAUGAACUAGUCAUUAAGCUAUAAACCUUCAAUUUAUGUUAAUAUGCCCACUUGUCUUACGAUGUCGUCAUUAGGUAACUGUAUCCUUCCUUCAUCAAAUGAUAAUUGAUCAUUUAUUCGAGGGCAUUCCAGAAAUGUUAACAGAUCUAAUUUACAGAUUUUUCACCUAAUAUGAGACCAAAAAUGAUAAACAAACAAAUGAUGUUUAGUUAAGUUUUAUAUGCCGACUUAUUUUUCGAUGCCAUCAUUAGGUAACUAUCUUUCCUUCAUCAAAUAAUAAUUGAUCAUUUAUUGGAAGGUUUUCCAGAAAUGUCAACAAAAUGUAAUUUAUAAAUUUUUUCCCUAAGAUGGGACCAAAACAGAUAAACAAAA
rnacentral:lncRNA from 1 species